rnacentral:rRNA from 1 species
CAGUCGUACCGGCGGAUAAUCAGCCUUUCGGGUGCGAUUCUGUGGGGCGUGAGGAGCUUAACCGCCUUUCAUGUUUUGCAUAUUCGUGCACAUUUGGUGUACUUGUCCGUGUGGUAGGUUAACAUCAAUUUCGGUCGUCAUAAAAUGAUUGGAGGAUUGUAGCAUUGGUCUCGUAUCGAAGUGUUACAGACUCUGGUAGAUGUGACGAUUGGGAUUGAGGUAUUGCAACGGAUACCCCUCGGGGGCUACCCGUCUGAUCUCUGAAGUUGCUCCGGUGCCGAAG